ensembl:lncRNA
UCUCUUCUCUGCUGAGAUACUUAGGAGGGGCCCACUCCUCCUGCUGCUGGCCAGCAUUCACUGAGUGCACACUCUAUGCCAGGUGCUGCUGCCCCAGGGACCUCAGAUGAGUUAACCCAUUUCAUCUUCACAACAACUCUAUGAGAGUUCACGAAGGUCUUCGAUGAUAUCUUGCUGUCCUUGAGAAAGAGGGUACCUUUGCAUGGGUUUGUGUGAAGAGACUGGUAGGUUCCCAUUCUUACCUGGUUACCACCUGGAAGAUCAGUUGAGAAAAACAUGGGAGACCGUCACUAUUGAUGCUGACAAGCAGUGCCAGAGAAAUCAAGGUUCAAUGCAAGGAUGAGAGUCACAUUUGGUCAUGAUAGACCAUGCAGUCUCAGGUGAGAGAACAGCUGUAGCCUACACCUUCAUUUCAGACUCAAGGGUACGGACUGCCUGACCUAGAUGCUGGAAGCCAGAUUUGGGUCCUCUGUAAAAGCAGUAUACACUGUUAGCCUCCGCGCCUCUCUCUAUUGGACUUCUUGCUCCUUCAGCAGCUACAUGGCAUCUGUCUGGUGGCUCACUCUCUCCCUCCAUCUCCCAGAAUUCUUAGUCUGGCAGCCCCGUCUAUACUUCCUGCCUGGCUACUGGUCAAUCAGCAUUUAUUCAUCAACCAAUAAGAGAAACAUACUUCACAGCAAACAGGACCUCCCUCAUCAGAGGUGGGGAGAAGAAAAACUUUGGAUACUAUCAAAGCUGAUCAAGAUUCGAGUUGAAAAAGACAAACCUCUCGAUAAGGACAAGUGACAGGUAAUUUACUAAGGUAUAUCUCAUAAACUAAAUAGAAACCUCCCAAAGGAAAGGGAAGUGUUUUGCUUUUUAUCUUCACAGGAAAGCUCAUCUCCAGAAAGCAAAGGACACUGCAUGGGUAGACACUUAAGAAAGGACGGUAGCUAUAACCAUCAAACAAAAGGAAUGUGCCAUACAGUAAACUUUACAGCUGUCUUUCAAAGAACUCUAUUUCUCUUUAUUUUCCUAGUCACCAUUCAAUUAAAUCAAUGCUGGAUUUAGAGGUGGAUUUGGCUUUCCUCCUCUAAAAUCCAAGCACGUUGUUCAACUAAACUUUAGAGUUUCUAUAUUGUGUCAAGAAGCCAAUUGAUGUAAUACAGAAGAGAGAAGAAUUUGGGGACUGUCUUUGUCUUUUCUCGGCUCUUUCCUUCAAGGUAUACACCAUCUCAUAAUUGUUAUUUUUCCAUGGUUGCCUUUCCUAGUUAGCAUACACAUACAAGCAAACAUUUCUCUGCUAACACUUAUGUUUGAGUCUCACACAGCCAAUGAAGACCCGCCUGACAGCAAUCCCUGGACACUCCGGAAAGAAAUUGGGUCAUACCUCCUAGACUGUACUGGAUCCAACUUACUCUGUUUCAACUGACAUUCCGACCAGAGCUUUGGGUACUGACUUCAAUCAACCUGAGGAUUUCAACUUAGAUCUUCAAUCAAGCAAAUCUCAUCUAACAUGGACUGGAUAUAAUCCUUUCGAGACUUUCACUAUACUAACAUUUUCUUCCUACAGGAUGCCACGAGGCUAUCGCCAUCCCAUUUCAGCAGGCAGUAACUUGGAGAAUGCUAUGCCCCCUUCCCCCAUUAUUGUCAAUUAGGGUAGUGUAAGCCUAGUUAGGGAUAGCUUACUAUUGUUUAUGGUUGGGAUUGGAAGGAGGUGUUCAGGCUUGGACACCUCUUUUCAGAUGACUUUAGGGUUUAGCUGAUGUAGACAUAGUUAGGAUGUGUCAUAGCAGAUUAUUGUAUCUUAUUGUAUUUCACCUUUAUGAUUACACUGUUAAGUUUUAAUCCUCUUUUAGACUAAAAGGAGAGUUGUAGGGGACAAUGUAAGCCAUGCCUGCUAGAAGCUGCCUACAGGUGUGCCUGACCAUGUCAAGGUGAUGCGGGAUAGGAUUUAAAGGGACAGACAAAGCACAUGGAGGCCCCUUCUCUGUGGCCUCCUUGCCUUGCUGCCCCUGGCAUGCUCUGGCUUGCAUUUGGCUGAUGUUUAUCUAAUAAAAGAUAUCUUAACCUUGCAGAUUACAUAUCUUCUCUU